UGUCCCAUGCAGUCACAUUCUUAGAAACAUAAAGCGCCUCUGGCAGGACCACAGAAGCCUUGGGGGUCUCUAGCAUCAAAGGCUUUUCCUGCCAGUUAGUUAGUUUAGAAGGUCCUCCAAACAUUGUUCUAAGUCAAGGAGGGGUGGGGUUGGGGGGGUUGUUGCGUUUUCUUUAUUUGCAGUACUAAGGAAUUUUCUAGUAUGUCUAAGUUCAUAAAAUAUAAAUUUGUGGAACUUUAAUCUUAGGGUAUCAAAGCCUACAGCAAAAAGGAAAUGGUGACAGUUGUUGAGUAUAAAAGUGAAGAAACCAUGCAGAGGCCGUAAAAGGCCGUCCAGUGCCACUUGGUUUCUUCCAAAAGAUUGUGAAGAAACACCAAGACAACCCAGUUCUCAUUUUCUCUCUCUAAAGAGUACAUGCAAAAGUGACCCCAGGUGCAAUGGUUCAAAGGGGUUCCCGAGGCCCAUGCACAUCAAGCCUGGAGGGAGAAGGGGUGGGAGCUGUAAGACUGGACCUAGGGGGAGGGUGGUGUGUCAGAGGUGUGCUCUCAGUCACUAAGGCCCUCGCCCACUCCUGUCUUCCUCUCUGCUUCCUGUCCACCACAAUGAACAGAUGUCUGCCCGCACAUGCUUCUGCUAUAAUGUACUAUGCUGCCACUGUACCACGGGCCUGAAACCCAUGGGCUCAAAUAAACCAUUCCUUUCUAUCAGGAAUCUUGUUAACAUGGAAGCCUUAUGUUUCCAUACCACAUGUGAAAAGCACACCUUGUCACUGCAUUUCCCCCCAAAGUGUUUACCUGCCGUGUUCCCCAGUCUAACUUGAAGCGCAGAUAUGGGAAUCAACCAGCGGAAUUUAAAUGGAUCCAAGUCAGCAGAGUUGUGAGCAGGCCGGGAAUUCGAGGGCUGCAACACAAGAGACCACCAGGAAGAGGUUACAGUCGUGUGUACAGUGAACAGAGGUAUCUUGAUGUGUGUGCCUAAGAUACAUACAAACCAGGUACACACCCAGUUCUCAAAGACCUCCCAGGCUUGGAGCUGGGACUAUGCCAAAGUGAGAGAGAGUUCAUGGAACACAAGGUUCCCUAUCUCUACAAAGACAGCAGCCUUGCCUUCCUGCAGUCUCCAGUACCUGCUGGUGGCUUAUGGUGUCCGUGGCAAAGUUCUCAUCAAAUACUUUGGAGUUUUGCUUGGGUCUUGACUUUUUGAAUCAAAGUAAAAAUUAGUUCUAAAACAAAAACGUGGUAGCCCUCUGUGUUUAUGGAACCUUGUGUACUAUUAUCUUCAGGGAAUAAAAGUUUUCUGUUUUGGCC
rnacentral:lncRNA from 1 species